ACCAAGCCGACGAUGCGUAGGGGUUCUGAGAGGAAGGUCCCCCACAUUGGAACUGAGACACGGUCCAAACUCCUACGGGAGGCAGCAGUGAGGAAUAUUGGUCAAUGGCCGGAAGGCUGAACCAGCCAAGUCGCGUGAGGGAAUAAGGCCCUACGGGUCGUAAACCUCUUUUGCCAGGGAGCAAUGCCGUCCACGUGUGGACGGAAGGAGAGUACCUGGAGAAAAAGCAUCGGCUAACUCCGUGCCAGCAGCCGCGGUAAUACGGAGGAUGCGAGCGUUAUCCGGAUUUAUUGGGUUUAAAGGGUGCGUAGGCGGCCUGCCAAGUCAGCGGUAAAAUUGCGGGGCUCAACCCCGUACAGCCGUUGAAACUGCCGGGCUCGAGUGGGCGAGAAGUAUGCGGAAUGCGUGGUGUAGCGGUGAAAUGCAUAGAUAUCACGCAGAACCCCGAUUGCGAAGGCAGCAUACCGGCGCCCGACUGACGCUGAGGCACGAAAGUGCGGGGAUCAAACAGGAUUAGAUACCCUGGUAGUCCGCACAGUAAACGAUGAAUGCUAGCUGUCCGGGGGGAUUGACCCCUGG
rnacentral:rRNA from 1 species